rnacentral:rRNA from 1 species
UACGUAGGGUGCAAGCGUUAAUCGGAAUUACUGGGCGUAAAGCGUGCGCAGGCGGUUUUGUAAGUCUGUUGUGAAAUCCCCGGGCUCAACCUGGGAAUGGCAAUGGAGACUGCAAGGCUAGAGUUUGGCAGAGGGGGUAGAAUUCCACGUGUAGCAGUGAAAUGCGUAGAUAUGUGGAGGAACACCGGUGGCGAAGGCAGCCCCCUGGGUCAAAACUGACGCUCAUGCACGAAAGCGUGGGGAGCAAACAGGAUUAGAAACC